UACAGAGGGUGCAAACGUUGCUCGGAAUCAUUGGGCGUAAAGCGCACGUAGGCGGCCCAGCAAGCGGGGAGUGAAAGCCCUCGGCUUAACCGAGGAAGUGCUUUCCGAACUACUGGGCUUGAAUACUGGAGAGGGUCGCGGAAUUCCCGGUGUAGGAGGUGAAAUUCGUAGAUAUCGGGAGGAACACCAGUGGCGAAGGCGGCGACCUGGACAGAUAUUGACGCUGAGGUGCGAAAGCGUGGGGAGCAAACAGG
rnacentral:rRNA from 1 species